UCUUCCGGCACUUCAGCAAUUUCCAUGGCUUUCGGCGCAUGCACAGUUGUCCGGGACCGGCAGAUUGCGCUAACUACGCAUGCGCCAACACACCUCUCUCUUCCUGAAGAUUGCCGAAGAUAAGGAGAUGCGCUCGUGAACUCCGAUGCCCUGAAUCUGCACCGAGGGCCGUCCAAGUAGUGACUUCCAACCUGUAGCUGUCCUGCAACAACAACCCCAUGUUGUACUCACUACUAAAGCACUCUGGUUUAGGAAUAUCGGAUGUUUCCUCCUCAUUCACUGGAACAUCGCUAUUGGGAUUAGUUAAUUGAGGCUGUUGUAGCUCCACGUUGACUGAUUCCGCCUCCUCGGCUUCUUCAGCUUCAGUCAGGUAUGAAAGAACAGCUUUAUAUUUUCAUCUGCCUUACCUCAGUAUGCCGGUGCCGACAUGAGAUGCCGCACACUUUGGCGCCCAUCUUGAAACUCCUGUACAAGAAAAGAAAGUUUGGUAUAAGUCACUGCUUUAGUGGUGAUAAAGAAUACAAGUGUUUGUAGCUGCUGGUAAAUGAAAAGCUGAAGACAAGCACCUCUCUGUAACCUCACAGCUACACACCUGAGCAGUUAGGGAAAGGGAAGCUGAUAUGGGCAAAGUGCUAAUAUUAUGAUCAUAUCACACUUCCCAUUGGUUUAAACCAGACUAGUCAAAGCAGCCAAUCAUUUUACAGCUGCCAUUGUUAAUGUCAGAAAUGUAUGUUUAAAUGUUAUACAUUACUGAAGGGGUGUCCAAAAGGUA